ACGCUGGCGGCGUGCCUAAUACAUGCAAGUAGAACGCUGAAGGAGGGGCUUGCUUCUCUGGAUGAGUUGCGAACGGGUGAGUAACGCGUAGGUAACCUGCCUGGUAGCGGGGGAUAACUAUUGGAAACGAUAGCUAAUACCGCAUAAGAGUAGAUGUUGCAUGACAUUUGCUUAAAAGGUGCAAUUGCAUCACUACCAGAUGGACCUGCGUUGUAUUAGCUGGUUGGUGAGGUAACGGCUCACCGAGGCAACGAUACAUAGCCGACCUGAGAGGGUGAUCGGCCACACUGGGACUGAGACACGGCCCAGACUCCUACGGGAGGCAGCAGUAGGGAAUCUUCGGCAAUGGACGGAAGUCUGACCGAGCAACGCCGCGUGAGUGAAGAAGGUUUUCGGAUCGUAAAGCUCUAUUGUAAGAGAAGAACGAGUGUGAGAGUGGAAAGUUCACACUGUGACGGUAUCUUACCAGAAAGGGACGGCUAACUACGUGCCAGCAGCCGCGGUAAUACGUAGGUCCCGAGCGUUGUCCGGAUUUAUUGGGCGUAAAGCGAGCGCAGGCGGUUAGAUAAGUCUGAAGUUAAAGGCUGUGGCUUAACCAUAGUACGCUUUGGAAACUGUUUAACUUGAGUGCAAGAGGGGAGAGUGGAAUUCCAUGUGUAGCGGUGAAAUGCGUAGAUAUAUGGAGGAACACCGGUGGCGAAAGCGGCUCUCUGGCUUGUAACUGACGCUGAGGCUCGAAAGCGUGGGGAGCAAACAGGAUUAGAUACCCUGGUAGUCCACGCCGUAAACGAUGAGUGCUAGGUGUUAGACCCUUUCCGGGGUUUAGUGCCGCAGCUAACGCAUUAAGCACUCCCGCCUGGGGAGUACGACCGCAAGGUUGAAACUCAAAGGAAUUGACGGGGGCCCGCACA
rnacentral:rRNA from 1 species